CCGGCGCGACGGUGAGUAACGCGUAUGCAACUUACCUAUCAGGAGGGGAUAACCCGGCGAAAGUCGGACUAAUACCGCAUGAAGCAGGGGCCCCGCAUGGGGAUAUUUGCUAAAGAUUCAUCGCUGAUAGAUAGGCAUGCGUUCCAUUAGGCAGUUGGCGGGGUAACGGCCCACCAAACCGACGAUGGAUAGGGGUUCUGAGAGGAAGGUCCCCCACAUUGGUACUGAGACACGGACCAA
rnacentral:rRNA from 1 species